AAUCAAUGAAUAAACAAUACAUGAGCGUAGGUGCAAGGGAACUGUCUCAUUGUAAGAAGGUCCAAGAGUAAGCCAUGUGAAGAAAAUAAAUAACACAACAAGUAAUAUUUACGAAACACUCAAAAAUUAAAUUGAAAGAAACAACAUCGGGACGUGCACGGAUAAAAAUCGGGAUGCGAGGAUGCGAAUCAAAGUCGCAUAAUGCAAUGACGUGCAAGGCAGAUGGAAAUUGAAAAGCAAACAAGAAAUCUAGAUAAUGUGCUCAAAGUCGGUUUGCACAUAUUGACAAUAAUGGAAAUGUCAUAUGUGAUUAAUCAAAAUGCAGUGAAAUACUAUCGAUGUAUCGAUAAAAAUAAUCAUGGAUAAACAACAUGGGAAUUGUUGAAUCCAUAAAUUAAAAUCGAUGCUUUGCCAAAAUAAAAAGGGAGACAUUAAAAAAAAGUAUAGAAGAAAUUAGGUUAAAACCUAAAUAUGAGAAUUCAAGAAAAUAUGAGAAAUUGAAAUGUUGAAGAACCAAAAUAACACACCUGGGUAUCGAACCCAGGACUAAGGAGGAGGUGAACUAUCUUCAUCUCCACCCAGCCAUGACUUGCCUACUGGUAGAUUAAGACCAACAAAACCUACGUGCUAACCGGAAACUUCUAAAGAAAAAAAUGAAAAGGGCCAAACAUGGGCUACCGAAUUAGGUUUGUUUAAGGCCCACGAACCUAAAUCCCAUAUUCGGGUCAGUGGAGGCCCACUCCAGCAAAGUCCAAGCGCGAAAAGGACCAGGAGGGAAGUUCAAUGGUCACGUGAAGGCAGGUGUCCCAAGGUGGAGCGGUCAUCAAUGCAGGAGAGAAAGUAAACAGAAAGCUCACCCUGGGAAGUGGAAAAUAAAAAACUUCACUAAUGACUAUUAAAAAACCACAUUUUAGGAAAACAAACAGUGAGCCAUAAAUGGUGAAAAUGGAAACGAAACAAUUCCUUCCCAAUAAUCUAGCCCUAUCCGCCUUGGUUCUUCUCCCUUAUCCAAAAAAGAUCCCACACACCUAAACAGACAAAAUCUGAACCCGCGUCUAAGCUUAGAACAUCACAAAGACGCUGAGUCGAACAGAUCAAAACAAACUAGCCUUAUGAACUAGCAACGUCAAAGGACAACAAUCCACCAACGAAAACAAUCCACCGGGUUAAAGCAUAAAACCUUGGAAUACUCAAGGACCUUAUCAACGGAAAUCUUAAAAUCACACAAAAGGAGAUUUCGCCGGAGCUUCACCACUCCGGCGAGAAUUCGACGGAUGAGAAUAUACCUCAGAUAGAUGACUCUGAUUCCCCUAUCUUCUUCUUCGCCUCCUCACCCCCUUCUCCGCGUCUUUGUUGAAAGUGUUGACGAUUUUGAGUAAAACAAAGUUUAGCUCAGUCUGGUUGCGCUUCAAUGUGACAGCUCAACAAUCUUAUGGAAAUAGAGCAAUGAGUGACGUUCGGCGUGAGUUUCUGCAGUGCGAUGUGGAGAAACCUUCGUACAAGAGCCGUUUGAAGAUUUUGUCCUUAUCCCCAGUUGGUGGUCCCUCCUUCAAUUACUCUCCAAUCUCCAAAAACUUCACCGUUGCAGCUUCUCUUCUAUUGUUGGUGGUACAUUGAUGCAAUUGGGGAGAACCAAACAGAUUCUUUUGAACAACAUCAGUGUAAAUUGAACCACUCCCUGCUGUUGUGACAUGGGUAGGAUCAACCUCAUAUGGUCCACUUCUACUGCUACCAGGAACAGAUGAAGACAAAGCCAAACGGUGGGAAGGAGAAUGUAAUGUGUUCCGUGGACGAGCGGAAUCAAUCAUUGCACUGAUGCAUCUUGUACAAGGAGACAGACGACUUUGUCGAUGUAAAUGAUCAGUUGUGGAUUCAAUGGUAGGAGUUUUCCUCACUUAAAAUGUCACAGACCAUCUUUCCAGUUUUGCAUUCAUGUCACUUGCUGCUUGAUUUCCCAAAGAGCCCGGCAGCAUGUGCGGAGAAGGCACGAGUCUGGCAGUCAACAACAACAAGUGUGUAUGGUGUUGGAUUGUUUUGGCUGAUGUUACAUAUUUCUGGACUUCUGAUCUCUAUUUGCUUCUUACAAAAGAUUAGCUUCCAAUGCACUAACUGGUCUUGAUUCCCAUUACUUGUCAAUUGAAGUUAUUCCUAACCAGCACUUCACUUUUAAAAGAAUUGAAUUGUCUAAAUGGUAGAAGAUGAUCCAUUUGAAAAUUUUCCAUAUCUACUUUAUAUUAUUUUGUCUCAACAGAAGAAAGGUUUUCCUGGCUGGAUGGCCGAACUGAAUUUCCUGUUGCAGUUGCAGACAUUAAUGGGUUUGGAUGCGUAGUAGCUGCAAUGGCAAGAAUUCCAACAAUGGCCCUAUUAAGAGGUGACAAAUUCCUAUUUUGCCUUUGAGUUUUUGUUUUCUUAAAAACAGGCUCUGAGGUUGAAUACGAGGAUGAACCCACUUUCCAUGAAUCAAUGGAACCAUCAGAACUAAAAACAACAUCAAUUACACUACUUGCACUUCCAGGGAUUUGUUCAUAUUUUCGUUUAUGACCAUAAUUAUUUUCAUUGGUAACCUCAACAAUAGCAUUAUAACAUUCAUCCACUUUCUCCUUGUUGAUUUUGAGAAUACUAAGACUAAUUCUUGUAGUUCACACCAUGCCGACAUUCACUUACGGAUCAUCUUUGACAUCCACUCUUUGUACCUCUUUGGUUCCUGAAACUUGUUCAUCGCCCGGGGACUUUGAAGCUGCAACAUCACGUGUGGCCUCCUUAACAAGCAUUGCCGACAUUUCCAUAACAUCAGGCGUAGGACCAGUAUAAACAAUUGACAACUGAACAAACCAUUUAAGAGACGAAUCAACGUUACAAACAUUGAUACGAAGGUUGUCAUUUAAACAUAGGGCUCCUUCCACUUCCAUUGAUAGUCUUUGUAGAAACAACAUUCUCAGAAUUACUCGCUAGGUUUGUCAACGGAAAGCCGCAAGCUUGGUUUCUUGGUGCGCCGGCUAAUGAAUAGACUGUUUUACAAGUUCUGUUGCAUUAGGCUAGCAUUAGCCUGGAUUUCCACAUUUCGAAUGUUGUCUCUACAAAACACCGACGGUGGAUUGUAAGAUAACGGGUUUUCAUUUUGAUGAAAGCAUGUAUUACUCUGAGAAAGGCAAACUGUAGUCGUAGCAGACGACGUAUCCAAACAGUUUGUCUCGACAGCACCACCAUUCAAGCAUGUCUGAGGGUUUUACCAUAUUUGGAUUAGAACUUUGACUCAAGAUUGUCACAGCAGACUGAGCCAUGUCAUUCCCUAUUGUGUUCAUAAGUGUAUGGGAUGUUGUCGCUGGAGGAAGCGCACGGGCACAGUUAUUUGUGGAAAGUGAAGUAGAGCAAGAUGGAACAUCAUCAGUAAUGAUAGAUGGCGCAGUUCCCGUUUCCACAGUGCGUAUACUAUAACCAGAAGCAGACAACUUAUUAUUUGUAGUAGUGGAAGGAAGUCCAACAUGACAGGAUGUUUUAGAAAGCAAGCCGGGUUAGGUUUGCUGUUGUUGAUGUUGAAGCUUCAUGUCAUUUAUCCCUGAAUGCUGUCUAAGAAAAGGCUGAAGCAUGCCUGAUUGUCGACUGAAUUAGUUCUCACGCAAUCACAGAGGUCAGUGCUUGCAAGAAAGGGCGCCCUUGUGGAGCCAAGAAUAUGUGUCGAUGGCGACGAAGCAGCCGUGAGGGUCUGCAUAUGAGCUCUUGAGCGCUCAUGUGCCUCUACUGCUUUUUGUUGGUUUUUAAUCUGUUCUUCUCGAGUCCUCUCAAAUGUAUCAUAAUUCCCUUUAUAAGUGGUUAGCUUUUGGUUUUGUAAGUGAAUUAUAUCAGUAACUACCGUGUUUAAAAAUUCUCUAGCAUGAGAAACAACAAUAAAUGUUUUUGGCCAUUUCCUUCA